rnacentral:rRNA from 1 species
AUACGUAGGGAGCGAGCGUUGUCCGGACUUACUGGGUGUAAAGGGAGCGUAGGCGGGAGUGCAAGUCAGAUGUGAAAUACAUGGGCUCAACCCAUGGGCUGCAUUUGAAACUGCAUUUCUUGAGUGAAGUAGAGGUAAGCGGAAUUCCUGGUGUAGCGGUGAAAUGCGUAGAUAUCAGGAGGAACACCGGUGGCGAAGGCGGCUUACUGGGCUUUUACUGACGCUGAGGCUCGAAAGCGUGGGGAGCAAACAGGAUUAGAUACCCUGGUAGUCCACGCUGUAAACGAUGAUUACUAGGUGUGGGGGGACUGACCCCUUCCGUGCCGCAGUUAACACAAUAAGUAAUCCACCUGGGGAGUACGGCCGCAAGGUUGAAACUCAAAUGAAUUGACGGGG